CUUAUGUCAAUUUUCAGAAUUUUUUUAAAAAUCUCUCACUAUGCCUGAAGAGUCAAGACAGUUAUUGAAUUAGCGAAUCUCAUUUAAUUAUCAUGAAUUGGGUUGCCUUUUAAUUAAUUAGGAGCUAUAUUUUUGUUCAUCGUCUUGCCUUGCCGUCACUAACAAAUAUGAAGCCUCCUCCUAUAUGUUGGUCACAACUCAGUCCCCUCCUCUGACCUUCUCAUUCUAAGUUUACAUUCCCCACCUUUUGUAGAAAGUAAUAGAAGAAUAAAAGAAAAGAACCAUUUUCGUUUUUACUGAACCUGUCUAUGGAGAAUUGUGACUGCACUUUCGUUUACCAUUUGAUUGGGCUAAUUUUUAGACAGAGUGUUCACAACAUGUGGUUCUUCGUUUUCAACAGUCCGAUCGUCAACAUGAUGUCUAGAAUGAGAGAAAUUGUGGUUACAGUACAACCACGAGUUUGAGGCUUAAAGUAGUGCUAAGGAAGUAGAGCGUAUAAGAGGUACCAAAGGAGAUAUGAUGUGUGCUUGAUGUUUUGCUUGAAGCGUGUACGCGGGGGAAACAAAUCCGGGGCGUUACAUAUACAUUUGAAAAUGACAUGCUCUUCCCUAAGCCUAUACAAACCUUAUCUCAGCAUUGAUAGUUAUAUAAACACACAUUUAUCUCAUCAAACUUCAGGGAUUACAUUGACAACAUUAAAUGUCAUAAAUAAGUCAAUUUUUCCUAAAAAAAAAAAUCAAUUACAAUCAUUAUGUAACUUUUAAUACUUUUAAUUUUUAUUUAAUUAUAGCCAUGAUUACAUUA